CCCGAGUUUCUCUCCCGACCUUCUCCUUCUCUUCACAUCGCGCCCGACUCUUGCCUCUUCUCCCGAUUCUUUCUCGUCGCUGGUUGCCAUCGCCGACUCCGGGAGCCACCGAUCAUCUUCUCCUCUUCGUUGGCACAGCCCCAUCGCCGAUUGCCAGUAAGAUCGCCCCAACCAGCCGGAUUCCCUCCUCCUCUCACGACUCUGCCCUAGGUCGCCGACUGCGCCUCCUCACGCCACCGCACGUCGACGCUAUUGCCGAUCUUGUGUUCCGAUUUCCCCUCUACCUCUCCUCUACCGACACAAGCCACUCGCGGGAUGAUUCCGGCGCCCCAAUCUAGUGCCAGACCUCUCCCUCUCGCACCUCUGCAGAUGCCGUGGGAGCCCGAUGCCGAGCCACAAUGCCAUCGACUUCGAUCAACCCACCACUGAUCAAAAGGGAGAGGAUCUGAACCCUAGAUUUGGUCCCUCAUUGCCUCAUACGCGUGCUGUGGUGUCGACCAAUGGAGCCUCUGUUCCAGCCGAGAUUGUGUUGCCAUCUACACUGUCAUCGGCCAUUUGUUUUAAGAAAUGCUUACUAGGCCAGUGAACCAUUGGAGAAGGGGUCAUUGACAUGGAACUAAGGGUUGAUAUCGGUAGAGCAAUGUUUGGCUGAGGGAUAUACAUCUGAUCGCUGUUUGCACAUCAGGGCCUUUUAUAUGGGCUGAUCAUCACAAUGGGGGAUUUAUUCUGGACACGAUCUACAUAUCAAGGUAGAUGGUUAGAGUGUCGCUCGGAGUAUCCUGUCUACCAGGUCCUAUGUCACAUCCGAAAAGCGUUUCGGGUUUCCGCUUAUGUUUUACUUGUAUUCGUUAUUUGGUGCAUUCGGUGUAUUUGGUGUAUUUGGUGUUGUUGUUGUAUUUGUGUUGUUGUGGUUAUUGUAUAAAGCAUAGCCGGCUAGUAGUGUCUUGAUGUGUUUUGUA